GAUAAGUUAUUCGUUUCCUAACAUUUCAAUUGGAAACCAUCAAAUCAAUCACGUGUAUUGUGCAAAUUUUUAUUCAAUUUGAAAAGCAGGCAUUUAUCUUAAGUAAAUUAUGUGGAUCGUGCAUUUGAGGUUAAAUUCACCACUCUGUUCAUAGUCCAAAAUGCCUAGAGGACGACGUGCGAACAUCGGCCGCCCCACAAGACAUGCAAGCCAGUAACAAGUGUAUUCACAAAAGUUAAGCGAAGAAAGAGAAAAUAUAAUAAGAGAAAAUGCCCGAUUGAGACAACACGUGAGGACACGAAGAUCAUUUGCACAUACAAUCGCUUGGCAUUGCAAUAUGAUCCCACUGCGAACUACAGUGAUGAUGAACAUUUAGAUAUUGGACCAAUGACGACUAUGUGCCGAUAUUGCAAUGCGUUAAAGUUCAAAAGAGAAACGGCUGGAUUGUGCCGCGCAUGUGGAAAAGUCAAACUGGAUCCAUUACUUACACCACCACAGCCACUGAAAACAUUGUUCGAUGGAAGUGAUCCCGAUUCCAGCCAUUUUCUUCAACACAUCCUUGAAUACAAAACUGCUUUCGCAUGACUUCCGUUGGAGCUAAUAUCAUUCGAGAAGGCGGCUUCAUGCCGGCUUGCAAGAUACAAGGACAAAUAUAUCAUGUGCAUGGUUCAAUGGUGCCAACACCAGAUGAACCGCAUUUAUUUCUGCAAAUAUAUUUCCUUUCGUCGAUGGUUGAUCAGCUGAAUGUGCGGUGCAAUAUACAGGGAACACAACAGAUGAAGAGAAGAAUUAUUGAACAGUUGCCAUUAUUUUUUCACGCUAAUAUGCUGUGGUUAAUAUGUUCAAAACAACAUUGGAACGAAUGCCGUCGGAUACGCACAAAUUUGUCAUAAGAGCGGAUUGUACCCCAACAGGUGAACAUGUGCGAAGAUUCAGUGCACCCACCGUUAAUGAUGUGGCUGCAAUUAUUGUUGGCGAACCAACUAAAUCGCGAGACAUUGUCGUUCAGCGAAGAAGCAAUAUCAUGCACCGUGUAAACAAGACACAUCGUUUAUACGAUGCGUUACAAUAUCCAAUCAUUUAGUGGCAAGGGCAAGACGGAUACGACAUCACGUUGAAGAUGGUCUAUCCAAUUACAGGCGUAUCAACGAAUAAAAAACUAAGCGCAAUGAAUUACUAUGCGUAUCGUAUGAUGAUUCGUACUGCUGUACGUGGACCAAAAUCAUUUGCUUUAAAACUGUGAACGGCCACCAAUGCCAAAUAUAUCGAGAAGCAUGUAAACUAUUGGGUUUGCUGGAGAACGAUUCUCAUUAGGAUUUAACACUUGCGGAUUCAGUUGUUUCAUCAAAUGUGUACCAAAUACGAACGAUGUUCGCAAUUAUCAUCACCACAUGUUUCCUUCACAACCAAUUCAGUUAUGGAACAAAUACAAAUACGACAUAUGUAUGUGAAGAUAUCUUGCAUCGCGUUCGCAUUCAAACGAAUAAUCCUGACAUCCAAAUAACCGAUGAAACCUACAAUGAAGGAUUCGUUCUGAUUGAGGAUCAAUGUUUGACUAUUGCAAACAAGCUACUGAUUGAAGUAGGAAUGAUUGCGCCAAAUCGAUCGAUGCACGAUGCAUUCAACCAAGAAUUAAAUCGAGAGCUGCAAUACAAUGUUGAUAAAUUGCAGGAAUUCGAAUUAUUGUGCCGUUGCUGAAUGAACCGCAAAAAGAAGUAUACGAGACAUUAAUGCAAGCGGUGGACAAUAAUACCGGUGGUCUAUUCUUCCUGGACGCAUCUGGAGGAACAGGGAAACAUUUGUCAUUUCAUUGAUUUUGGCCACUAUUCGAUCAAGAUGUGACAUAGCUUUGGCGUUAGCAUCAUCUGGAAUUGCGGCGACUCUUCUAGAUGGCGGUCGUACUGCACAUUCUGCGCUUAAGUUGCCACUCAAUUUAAACACAAUUGAUACUCCAACAUGCAAUAUUUCCCGAUCCAGUGCAAUGGGAAAAUUGUUGAUGCAAUACAAGCUCAUUGUUUGGAAUGAGUGCACAAUGACACAUAAGAAAUCACGUGAAGCACUUAACUUCACACUGAAGGAUCUUCGACGAAAUAGCAACAUCUUUGGCGGCUUUAUGAUAUUGUUCGCAGGCGAUUUCAGGCUUGCCUGAAGGCAUCACCUUAAAAUAUUGAAAUAACGUAAAAACAUUAUCGCUAACCACUAGUAUGAGAGUUCAACUUCAAAAAGAUCAAAGUGCUGCACAAUUUUCCAAACAAUUGUUAGCUGUUGGAAAUGGAAAAGUCCUAGUUGAUGCGACAUCUGGAUUAAUUACUCUUACCAACGACUUUUGCCGAUUGGUAGACUCUCAAUUAAUCAUAUUCUUAUGUAAAGCAGUAUUGAAAAAUAUAUUAAAACAGUUAAGUAAAUGUUCAAGCACAAAAUAUAACUUUGCACCGAUAACACAGAACUUUGUGAGUAAAACUUUUAGAAAGUUACACAAUAACGAUCAGUAGUAAAACUGAUAAUAAAAGUUGGCACAGGCCCAGUUUAACAGGAACAUUAAAUGGCCAUGGAUAGGAUUUCAAGUAUAUAGCAUUUAAUGGGCAUGAAAUGGGGAUUUCUAUUUGUUAUCUCGGUGCCAGAUAGUUAUUAUGUGCUUACGAUUGAGUUUGACUGCAUGUUUGAGCAAAAAAUGGUAGGGUACAUUUGACAUUUGACAUAGAGAAAUUUGUGUAUUUUUUUAAAACAAUUCAUUACUUACUAAUUAACUUAUUUAU